GCACAGGAGCAGAGGCCGGGACCUGGCGGCCGGUGCGGGGAGAGGGCAGCCUCCAGCACACUGGAGGGGACACCAGCUGGAGCAUGGGUCCCAAGGAUGAGGCCGGGGGCUUCCCUAAGAAGCACGGGCUGAAAGGGAGCUCAUCGGUGUUUCCAUCAGCUGGACGGCCCACCACCUCAGGGAGCUGCUUCCCAAAGAGCACCGCUCCAGGACCUGGUUCUGUUUUGUGUCCUGUUAAUCCAGCAGGGACACAAGAGAGCUGAGAGUGCAAACUGAGCUGGUGUUAACAACGCCUAGUGGAGAUGAAAGACCUAUGCAAACGCGAGGUGUUAUUAGCUUACACAGGAACCUUCCUGUUUUGUUUUUAAUUAUGAAGUACCAUUACCACCAUUUUUUGUUUCCAUAACAUCUUGCUUUAUGAGUUUUAAAGUUAUUUCCAAACAUCAGGACAAUCAUGAAGUGAGUAGGUUAACACAGCUUUAUUUCAACAUAUUGAGAAUAUAGUGAGAUACAGAGAAUUUCACUGAUUUUCUUAAAAGUCAAAAAUACGAUCUAAAGUUCAGAUUCGUUAUUAUCUUCAAUGGAAUACUCCCUACGAG
rnacentral:lncRNA from 1 species